CUGAGUGAACCUGCUGUCAGACAAUCACUAUUGCACACCAAAUGCUCUUACUCAGCAGAUGGGGACAGCUACCAUCACCCAAUUUUCACCCAAAAGUGGCUGCGCUAUUCGCCAGACUGGGCAGGAGGGACUGGACGACAACUUAUGCAGGCAUCAGAUGACAAUGAAAUGUAAAUAAAGAGUAGAGAAGCUAAUAAACAUG